rnacentral:snRNA from 1 species
GUGCACACUUGGACAGCACAUAGACUAAAGUUGGAACAAUAUAGAGAAGAUAGGCAUGGCUUCUGUGCAAGGAUGAUGCGCACAUUCGUGAAGCGUUCCUUUUUUUU